UACAGAGGUCCCGAGCGUUGUUCGGAUUCAUUGGGCGUAAAGCGUGCGCAGGCGGCUAUGCAAGACAGAUGUGAAAUCCCCGGGCUCAACCUGGGAACUGCAUUUGUGACUGCAUGGCUAGAGUACGGUAGAGGGGAUGGAAUUCCGCGUGUAGCAGUGAAAUGCGUAGAGAUGCGGAGGAACACCGAUGGCGAAGGCAGCCCCUGGCCGACAUUGACGCUCAGGCACGAAAGCGUGGGAGCAAACAGG
rnacentral:rRNA from 1 species